UACGUAGGCAGCAAGCGUUGUUCGGAGUUACUGGGCGUAAAGGGUGUGUAGGCGGUUCCUUAAGUUUGCUGUGAAAUCUCCCGGCUUAACCGGGAGGGUGCGGUGAAUACUGAGGGACUAGAGUACGGGAGAGGAAAGUGGAAUUCCUGGUGUAGAGGUGAAAUUCGUAGAUAUCAGGAGGAACACCGGCGGCGAAGGCGGCUACCUGGUCCACAACUGACGUUCAGGUACGAAAGCGUGGGGAGCAAACAGG
rnacentral:rRNA from 1 species